CAACUUUUGAGACAUGUCUUGGCUUUUAUAUAAUUGAAGAAAAAUGUAUCUCUUCUUAUGUAUAAUAUCAAUUAUAUAUUUUUAUUUGGCUUACUGUAAACAACAACUUAAUUAAACUUGCCCUGGAUCAUCUUUAUCCAGGAGCAAAAGCCUAAAGAAGGGACAGUGAAUAAUACCUGCUAAUAUUUAUUGAGAUGCUAACUCCUAUUUGUUAUUAAUCUUUUGGUCUUUGAUAAGUUAUUUAGCCUAUCUGAGUUUUGAUUCCUUCACAUAUGCAUUUUAGGAGUUGAGAUUUUCAGCACUAAAUGAAAUAUUUAAUUAUCAAUCCCACAAAUUAUUGGGAAUACCUAUAACAUUUAUUAAUCACUCACACCAUGAACAUCCUUCUAUAGACAGGUCAUGAUAUCUGACAUUACUGACAGAGGCUUUAAUAAGUCUUUGUGGUUUCAAUAUGUUCUCAGUAUCCAUCAUGUCAUGUUUGAUUUUAGGGUGCAGAUCCAUUUAUCAGUUGUUUCAUGAGAACAGGUUGAUUAUAGGGUUUAGUUUUCUUCCUAGAUCAGAUAACCAUUCAAUUAACUAAUAUUUGUUUCUAGCUUUUUAGUUAAAGAUUGACAUUCAUUUAAUUUGUUCCAAGUUGGAGUUCCCAUCAUGGCACAGCAGAAACAAAUCCAACUGGAACCAUGAGGACAUGAGUUCGAUCCCUGGCUUCUUUCAAUGGGUUAAGGAUCUAGCUUUGCCGUGAGUUGUGGUGUAGGUCACAGAUGUGGUUCGGUCUUGCAUUGCUGUGGCUGUGGCUUAGGCUGGCAGCUGUAGCUCUGAUUUGACCCCUAGCCUAGGAACCUCUGUAAGUCGAGAGUGUGGCCCUCAAAAGCAAAAAACAAAAACAAAAAAAUUAACUUGUUCCAAGUUAAAAUUAUUGUUCUCAUACUCUGACCCAUAUAUUUGAAGUCAGACCUUUUCAUCUCUGCAACUCCAAUACAAAGUAACAAUUAGCAGUUACUUUGUAGAACUCUACUGAAUUUGAGAAAGAUUUGAGCCUUUAACAUACACUGAUAUCAAGUUUAGAUGUACAGACUUGUCACUUUCUUCUUGUCAUUUAUUUAUUUUCAGUAUAUCCAUAUAUACAAACAUUAUUAAGUAUAUUUUGAUAGUCAACAAUCUUCUUCACAAUUUUUCUGCUGUCUGAAGUUUCAUCUAAUUUUGAGUCAAUUUGGUAGGUCCUCACCUUUUAAUAGUUUGCGUGAAUUUAAAUUUCAAAACUAUGAAAGCAGGAAAUAAGCUGCAGACAACCAUUACAAAUAUAACCUGAUACAUUUCUGACAACCAAGUGAAUAUUAACAAAGUUAAAAUUAACUUUAAAGGUCACCUGUCAUCAUACUUUCCAAUAUAUUAUCUAAAUUUAAGGAAAACAUAUAAAUGAAAGUCCUUAUUGUUGAUCUCCAUGCCUCUCCUGUGGCCUUUGUCUCUUUUCAAAGCAGUGUCCUGAGUGUUCUUAUAUUAAGACUUUAAUCCAGAUCAUGUUACUCUUUCUUUUCAAAUCCUGCCUUCGCUUCCCAUCUCAUGGCUUCUUGUAAAAAAUCUAUUAGAUGUGACACUGGCUUCCCACAGCUCCUUGAACCUCCCUGCAAUUUGAUUUUAGCAACCUUUUGUUCCCUCUAAUUUCCCCUUAAAAAAUGAUUGAAGAUACCAUCUUCUAAUAUACUGGACAUUCCAUUCAGGUUUGGGGUAUGCAAGUCUUACGGCGGUGGUGGUGGUGUUUUUACCUUGAUUUACAAUUACUGUAUCUUAUUUGGAUGCUAGAAAACAUAAAAUAAAAUCAAACCACUUUGCUUAUUACUAGUUAUGGAAAACCAAAAUUUGUGAAAUUAUAUUCGAUUUCUGUUAUUGAUUUGGAGAGUUAAGAUCUUUCAUAUGACACAGAUUUUUUUUCUUGAACCAUUCAUCCUUUCACCGUGUUCAAGAGCACCAAUUUGAUAAUAUUAGAACAUCUUGUCUAAACCUUUCUCAGUUAUAGAAAAUGUUAGUGUUCAGUGAAACAAAGUAAUCGUGUAAAUACCUUCUAAAUGUGUUCAGGGCAAGCUUGCUGAACUAUUUUAAAAAGAAACAUAUAAUGAUUGAAUAAGAUAUUGAAACUAUUUCCAUUUUUAAGGCCUAUUAUUCUUGAGAGUUGUGCGAGUAACCUCGAGGUCUUUAGGGGAACAUUGAAGUCAAUUUAAAAAGAUAAUUUGAAAGCAUCUAUGUAUUUUUCUUAAAAGUAAGAAAGGCCAUACUCAUUUUUCAUAUCAAUAAUUAUUCAACUCAGCAUUUAGGUUCUCAUCAAGUCCAAAAAAUGGCAGACAAUUGUGUUAAAGCAUGAAUUUUAUUUAUUUAUUUUGGCUUUUUAGGGCCACCUCCCUGGCAUAUGGAAGUUCCCAGGCUAGGGGUCAAAUUGGAGCUGCAGCUACUGGCCUACACCACAGCCACAGCAAUGCAAGAUAGGAAGCCACGUCUGCAAACAACACCACAGCUCACAGCAACACUGAAUCCUUAACCCAUUGAGCAAGGCCUAGGAUUGAGCCCAUACCCUCAGUCGGGUUUGUUACUGCUGAGCCACAAUGUGACCUCCCAAAGCAUGGAUAUUUUAACAUGGAAAGAAUGGUUUCAAAGCACUCUUUCUGCAUAUUAGGAAACUUUGAGUUUAAUUAUAGGGCUAAUUAUCCCCUUGGGUAUUCUGAUUGGUUUAAACAAUGAGGAGGAAAAUACACACUUUGCUUUCUAUGGGCCCUCUAAAAAUGAAUACAGCUGUGUUCUUCAUAGUUGUGUCAUUGUGCUGAUCAUAAUUAGGUUGCAUACUUAAGACAUUAUUAAACAGUAUUUUAAAAACUUUUCCUAUGUUUUUCCACAACUCACAUUAAAUUAUUGAAUAGAUUUAAAAGUCGGUUUGUAGAAUUUUAUCAACCAAAGAAACAUAAAUGUUACUCAUUUUUAAAUAAGUUUAUUAUUAUAAUAACAGGUUAUAUAAAAAUGAUAGGUAUUACAUUUAUAAAAUAGCAUAUACUCAUGUAUAUAUGUAUUUGUUUUAUUUAUAUAUACUUAGUAUAUGUAGGUAUGUAAUUAAAUUCUCCUGCCUUACAAAUAAUAAACUUCAAAUCUAAGACAAUUUUAAAAGUAUGUUAUUACAGAAUUGUAAUGGUGAUGAAUUCCAAUCACCAGUAACAUGGUGAAAAUCAGCAUUUUUUUCCAUUUAAGUAGAGAACAUUAAUCUGCUAUCAUUAAACCAUAAUUAAACCAUAAUUAUAAAUUAUAAUUGAUGUAAUUAAAAGAGGUCAAUUUUAAUUUUUCACUAUUUUGUUUCAAGUUAUUUCUCUUUAUAACUGAAUUACUAUCUCAAUUACUUUAAAUUUUCCAUCAGUGAAAAAAUAAAAAAAGUAAAUUCAAUAGAGUAUUUAGUCCAAUGAAGCAUACUUUUUGAAGAAGCAUAAUGUGAAUAAGUUUUGAGAUUGAGUAAUUAGUUUCCUCUCCACUGUAAUCUUGAUUUUAAAGAUGAGAAUUGGAGUGCAUUUGUAAUAGCACCAAAUCAAAAUUUUCCAAAAAUAUUGAGAAUCUUAAAAAAAUCCAGGAUUCAUAUAAUCAUUUAUUUUCUUUUUAUAUGUGUAUGCAUGUGUACGCUUGGAUAAUCAUGGUGACUGGCAUUCUGCUGCACACAAAAAUGAAAGUAGAGUCCAUGAUUUCAAGGACCCAAACUGAGUGACAGAUAGAAAAAUGUUUUCCAUUACGUUCUGGGUGAUUACAUUGUAAGGUGCUGUGGCAAAAUAUAGAAUGAAAGAGCACAGAAAGACUACACUGAAAAUAUCAUAAGUAAAUGGGAGAAAACUGAAAAAGCAUAUGCUGCCUUAAGAGGAGGAGAUAAAUUGUCUACUUACAAGCUACACCUUCUCUAGAGGACUGGGAAGAAUUAUGUUCACAAGGCGAAGGAAAGCUAAAAUCCUGAAAUGUCUUUAUAGUCAUAAAAAUAUAUAAAAGGCUAAAAUCAACAGGGUAAUAGUGGCGAAUACAUUUGCAUUUUAGGCAGCUGAUGAAAAAUUGGAAGGAGUUUUACUAUAAAAGAAAUGGGAGUUAGUGAUAUUAGAUUAACUAUGAAUGUCUUUUUUCCCCCUAAGCCAAUCCCAUGAAAUUGCUUAACUCCCUUAUUCCACAUCCCUUAUACUGCACCAGGAUGUCAAUUUGAAAGAAUAAAUUAAUAUAAUGUUCCCGAUCUUGCCUAAACCCACUAAAUCUGUCUAUACAUUAAGGCCUUUUAAACCUGGUUUACAGUGGUCCAGUGCAAAGAUCCAUCCUUAGUUGCAAGAGAGAUGAACUCUAGACCCACUUUAAGAAUCAUUUGUAUUUCUGGCUUGGUUUCCAUAUUAACCUCUCCAGUUUUCUUCCCUACCAUGUAGACAGACACCUUGGUAUGUAUGAACACAAACAUUCGUAUAUUUGAAAAAACAAGUGUGGUGUACCAAAAAUAUGCUAGGCUACAUAGUAGCUCAUGAGUGAGUUUGUGCUCGAGCCCUGCAAAAGCAGUCUCAGUUUCCCACAGCCGGUAGGCUGGGAUUUCCCUACUGCUUAUUGCUUGUAACACCAGAGUUGUGGAUUCUGACUAGACCAUACCUUUGCCCCUCCUACCCAUCUCAGUCUGGCCUUUCUCUGUUCCUUAGUUGUAAAAUAACUGUUUUGCUAGUCUUCACGUCAUUCUCAGAGGUGGUUUUCCUAUGUGUGGUUCUAGUUUUGGGGUGACUGUGGGAGGUGAGCUCAGGAUUUUGCUACUUCACUGUCAAGAUCCAGAACCAAAACUAAGCAAAAUUUAAAUAGAGAAAUAUGCUAUGCUCAUGACUGAAAGAUUUAAUCAUUUUAAGGUGUUAAUUAUCAUAAGUUAUGGUUGACUCUUGAACAGCUUGGAGGUUAGAGGCACCACGUC
rnacentral:lncRNA from 1 species